AGUAGAGAAGUAGGCGGUUUCGGACGCAGCCAGCGUAUCAACGGGACUUUUAUUUUGGUCUUGUGGUGUGAUGUCAUAAGGCUGCGCCGCGCUUCAGCAUCUGAUUUGAUUCGGCUAAAGAAAGACCUGAUGGCACUGAAGGAGGAGAGUGAAGUACUGAAUGAAAUAGAAGAUAAAGAUCAACAUAAUCAUCAUGAUGUCUUUGCUGGAGAAAAAUUGUGUAGUUGCUCACAGCCUGAAAACAAUUCCUCACAAAACAUGGCUAAAAAGACAGGGACUAGAAGUCAUUUCAGCUGCGAACAGUGUGGAAACAGGUUCAAACUAAAAGGAAGCUUUAACAGGCACAUGAAAAUACACUGAGAAGCCUUACACAUGUCCUCAGUGUGGAAAGAGUUUCAAUCAGAAAGGACACUUUAAAGACCACAUGAGAAUUCACACUGGAGAGAAGCCUUACACCUGCCAAGAGUGUGGAAUAAGUUUCACUAUUAAAGGAAGCCUUAACAGGCACAUGUGAAUUCACAAUGAAUCUAAGCCUUACACAUGCCGGCAGUGUGGAAAGAGUUUCCCUGAACAUGGAAGUCUUGUAGUCCACAUGAGAAUUCACACCGGAGAGAAGCCUUACACCUGCCAACAGUGUGGAAAAAGUUUCAUUCAGAAAGGACACUUUAAAGUCCACUUGAGAAUUCACUCUGGAGAGAAACCCUAUACAUGCUCUCAGUGUGGAAAGAGCUUCAAUCAGAAAGGACACCUUAAAGACCACAUAAGAAUUCACACUGGAGAGAAGCCUUACACCUGCCAACAGUGUGGAAAAAGAUUCAACCAAAAAGGAAUCCUUAACAGGCACAUGAGAAUUCACAAUAGAGAGAUACCUUACACGUGCCCUCAGUGUGGAAAGAGUUUCACUAAAUAUGGAAACCUUGUAAUCCACAUGAGAAUUCACAUUGGAGAGAAGACAUUUAUAUGUUGUCAAGGUGCAAAGAAUUAAAAAAAACAACAACAACACUUGAGUACCCCACAAGGAUUAAUUUUUAAGAGAACUGUUUUAUAUGUCUUCAGUGUGGAAUGAGUUACACAGACAGGAUUCAACUUAGGAAUCGUGUAAUAACUCACAGUAGAAAAGCCUUUCAUGGGCCAUCACAGUGGAAAGACUUGGCAAACAUCCCAAGUGGUUUUUAGAUAAAUAUAUAAAUAUGUGUUGCAUUUUUUUCCCUUUCAACAAAAAAAUAAACUUGAUCAGAAAA